AUUGAACGCUGGCGGCAGGCCUAACACAUGCAAGUCGAGCGGAUGAAAGGGGCUUGCUCCUGGAUUCAGCGGCGGACGGGUGAGUAAUGCGCAGGAAUCUACCUAGUAGUGGGGGAUAACGUUUCGAAAGGAACGCUAAUACCGCAUACGUUCCGAGGAAGAAAGCAGGGGAUCGUAAGACCUUGCGCUAUUAGAUGAGCUUGCGUCCGAUUAGCUAGUUGGUGGGGUAAAGGCCUACCAAGGCGACGAUCGGUAACUGGUCUGAGAGGAUGAUCAGUCACACUGGAACUGAGACACGGUCCAGACUCCUACGGGAGGCAGCAGUGGGGAAUAUUGGACAAUGGGGGCAACCCUGAUCCAGCCAUGCCGCGUGUGUGAAGAAGGGCCUU
rnacentral:rRNA from 1 species